rnacentral:rRNA from 1 species
GGGUCCGCACAAGCGGUGGAGCAUGUGGUUUAAUUCGAUAAUACGCGAGGAACCUUACCUAGGCUAGAAUGCGAGUGAUAUCCAGAGAGAUCUGGAGUUCUUCGGACACAAAGCAAGGUGCUGCAUGGUUGUCGUCAGCUCGUGCCGUGAGGUGUUGGGUUAAGUCCCGCAACGAGCGCAACCCCUAUUUCUAGUUGCCAGCAAGUAAUGUUGGGGACUCUAGAAAGACUGCCUGCGUAAGCAGAGAGGAAGGAGGGGACGACGUCAAAUCAGCAUGGCCCUUAUGCCUAGGGCUACACACGUGCUACAAUGGCCGGUACAAAGGGCAGCAAUACCGCGAGGUGGAGCUAA